GGCCGCGUCGACAGCGAAAGCGUUAAGUAAUCCACCUGGGGAGUACGCCGGCAACGGUGAAACUCAAAGGAAUUGACGGGGGCCCGCACAAGCGGAGGAACAUGUGGUUUAAUUCGAUGAUACGCGAGGAACCUUACCCGGGUUUGAACGCAGGGGGACCGGUCAGGAAACUGACUCUCUAGCAAUAGCCGCUUGCGAGGUGCUGCAUGGUUGUCGUCAGCUCGUGCCGUGAGGUGUCGGCUUAAGUGCCAUAACGAGCGCAACCCUUGAUCUUAGUUGCCAGCAUUCAGUUGGGCACUCUAAGGUGACUGCCGGUGACAAACCGGAGGAAGGUGGGGAUGACGUCAAGUCAUCAUGGCCCUUACGGCCUGGGCUACACACGUGCUACAAUGGUCGGUACAAAGGGUUGCCAAGCCGCGAGGUGGAGCUAAUCCCAUAAAACCGAUCGUAGUCCGGAUCGCAGUCUGCAACUCGACUGCGUGAAGUCGGAAUCGCUAGUAAUCGUGAAUCAGAAUGUCACGGUGAAUACGUUCCGGGUCCG
rnacentral:rRNA from 1 species